ensembl:rRNA 5S_rRNA 5S ribosomal RNA
GUCUAUGGCCAUACCACCCUGAAUGUGCCUGAUUUUGGCUGAUCUUGGAAGCUAAACAGGGUAGGGCCUAGUUAGUACUUGAGUGGGAGACCCCCUGGGAAUACCAGAGCUGUAGGCU